AACGAACGCUGGCGGCAGGCUUAACACAUGCAAGUCGAGCGAGACCUUCGGGUCUAGCGGCGGACGGGUGAGUAACGCGUGGGAACGUGCCCUUCUCUACGGAAUAGCCCCGGGAAACUGGGAGUAAUACCGUAUACGCCCUUUGGGGGAAAGAUUUAUCGGAGAAGGAUCGGCCCGCGUUGGAUUAGGUAGUUGGUGGGGUAAUGGCCCACCAAGCCGACGAUCCAUAGCUGGUUUGAGAGGAUGAUCAGCCACACUGGGACUGAGACUCGGCCCAGACUCCUACGGGAGGCAGCAGUGGGGAAUCUUAGACAAUGGGGGCAACCCUGAUCUAGCCAUGCCGCGUGAGUGAUGAAGGCCUUAGGGUUGUAAAGCUCUUUCAGCUGGGAAGAUAAUGACGGUACCAGCAGAAGAAGCCCCGGCUAACUCCGUG
rnacentral:rRNA from 1 species